rnacentral:rRNA from 2 species
AGCAGCCGCGGUAAUUCCAGCUCCAAUAGCGUAUAUUAAAGUUGUUGCAGUUAAAAAGCUCGUAGUUGAAUUUCGGGAUUAAUAUGUUGGUCGUGCCUUGGUACGUACUGGCAUUAUUGAUUCCUACCUUCUGAAGAACCUCGAUGUCAUUAAUUUGGUGUCUUGGGGAAUCAGGACCGUUACUUUGAAAAAUUAGAGUGUUUAAAGCAGGCUCGCGCUUGAAUACAUUAGCAUGGAAUAAUGAAAUAGGACGUUUGAUUCUAUUUUGUUGGUUUCUAGGAUCGACGUAAUGAUUAAUAGGGAUAGUUGGGGGCAUUAGUAUUCAAUUGUCAGAGGUGAAAUUCUUGGAUUUAUUGAAGACUGACUACUGCGAAAGCAUUUGCCAAGGAUGUUUUCAUUAAUCAAGAACGAAAGUUAGGGGAUCGAAGACGAUCAGAUACCGUCGUAGUC